AUGGCUGAACUUCUGCUGCUAGUCGUGCUUGUGUAUUCUUUUCAUGACAUUAAAGCACAAGGUCAGUCACUAUGCUUUACUGUCACCACUAUAUCCGCUGCUUACUUUGACUAUUUUUGCACAUUAUGUAUUUCACCUGUACAUCUGAAGUUUCAUAUUUUAUGUGAAUAAUUUUGGAUGUUACAAAAACAUUUGGCUAAUUUUCAAAAUGUUAUUAUAUUUAAAUGUAACUUAGCCGAACACUUACUUGUCCCUGUACUGAUGGUGUUUACAGUGCAUUAAAUGUCCCACAAUGACCUAAGAGAAAAAAAAUUUUUUUGAAUUUGAAUGUUCAAAUUUUUAUUGUAAAAUGUUCUGUUGUGUGACAGUUGGGCUAUGAAACAGUUGCCAGAGAGACCAGAGAGAAAAACUUUGAUACAUUGGUAAAAAAAAAAUUUCUUAUUUACUUUCUUUUGAAAUAAGUUUUACUAAUACUUCACUAUUGCUAAAGUGUGCUGUUAUGAAUACACUGGUAAAUCGCUCUGUAGCUGUUAGUCAACACUGGGGCAGAGUUGGGCAGAGUCUAAAUAUAUUAUAGUUAAAUAGGUUGAGGGUUUCAAAAAGUCUGUCACAGCACAGGUCUGACGUUUGUUUUAUUGUGGCCACUUGGUGUUUACUUCUGGCUCUCUGGGAAUCAAGUUCUGAAAAUGAAAUCUAAUGUAAGUGAAAGUCAAAGGACUUUUAGUUUGCGUUGUAUAUUCAAAUCAUCAAGUUUAUUAUGGCUGAACGUCUAUUGCUACUGAGCCUCCUCCUGAUUUGUUUUUUGUUUCGGCCCUCUGGACAGCAUUGUAUACUAAUGUCACAGCAUUAAGCAUGAUUAAGGAACCGUUUUAGUAAGGUAUAAGCAAGUGCUUAAUUCAUCAUUGUGUAUUGUGUCUGUGUUUACAUAAAAACACGACCAGCUGCUAACUCUCUAAAACAUUGUUGCCCAGAGCCAGAUUGGCUAGUGAACUGAAAUUAUCCAUCCAUCCAUCAGCUUGUUUUAGCUUGACUGCAGGAUUCUCCAGCAUUUUCCUCUAAAGGAGUUUGAAUCACUGCUUAAAUUCUUAAUAGAAAAAGGAAGACAUGACACAGCAGUAUGGUAAAUAAUAAGUGUUUAUUAUAAACGGUUUUAACACAAAAAGAUGGCAACACCGCUCUAUCAAUGAGCUCUAACAAAAGAGACCUGGCCUUCUGUGCCUAAGGAGACAGAAGAAGAAACAAACAAGAAAGAAAAAAGAAAAAAAAACACUUCUGCGGCCUACAGGCCCAACCUACUCACUGGUAGCAGCAAUGAGACCCACACUACUCAAUCUGGAGAGAAGGCAGAGAGAAAUAGAGGAAGAGAGGGGUGGAGCAAGAGAGGAGGAAGGCUAGAGAGAGAGCAACACCACACCCACACACUCCCAUAGCCUCACAGGAUGUAACCCCCCCCCUACAUUAAAGCUAUAUUAAGCAAUGAAAGACUUCGCUAUCAUUUCAGACACUUUCUUCACUAUAACAUAGGGCCCUGAAACACAAGUCGUGAGAGCAGAACCAAGCACGGGCAGCAACAUGAGGACUUUGUCCCCAGGCUGACAUUGUCUUUUCACUGCAUUUGUAUCAAAAGAGAGCCUCUUUUGCUAAUGAAGUAACACAUUGCCACCGGUCCUUAUACAUCUUCACAAAAGUCACCGAGUCAGUUUUUGGAUUACAGUCGCUCAGAAGACUCUCCUUACGCACCUUUAAUCGGCCUCGUAGAUCAUGGUCAAACACAAGGGUAGCUGGGCUGAAACCCAAGGACUCCUGCUUAGCAUCACAUAUAGCGAACAAAACAAAAAGGAUACCUUCACCCCAAUUUUUUACCUGUAUCAUGGCAAUAUUUGCUUAGCAUUGCCUUGAGCAUUUUAAGACAACGCUCAAGUGCACCUUUCGACUCUGGCUGGUAAACACUGAACACAGAAUGGGAAACUGCAAAGGGACUGUAAAGUCCAUUUAAAAUUUCGGGAAAAGAAAUUAGUUCCCCGAUCUGUCUGUACAGUUCACCCUCAGGAACCCUUCUGGCUCCAGAGCAGGGCCCUGGUAACCCUAUCCCGGGCAGGGUGAACUGUUCCCUAGGUGUUCUUCUCAUAAGGAUCUCAUGAAUCACUCUUUGUCUGGUCCCUCACCCAGGACCAGUUUGCCAUGAGAGACCCUACCAGGAAAACAUAGCCCCUGGGAUCACUGGGACACACAAACCCAGAUAAGGUAGUGAUUUGCGGAGGGGAUUGGCAAGUACUUUUGUUGAAAUACAUAGUGGGAGAAAUUUGUCAGAUGAGGACAAACGAGGAAGAGAGAGGACUACAGGAAGAAAAGACAGUACUGACGAUAUAAUGAAUUGUCCCUUUUCCAUUGGAGAAAUGAAAAGAGCUCCAUAGUGCUCCAGGGAAAGAUGUGCCAUGCUGUGUUUAAAUAUUUAAGGGAUGCGCCUUCUGCACUGCCUGUGGUUUCCAGGCGGCGGUGUGGAAGGUGCAGAAGGUUCUUCAGGCGCAUGAGUAGACGA
rnacentral:lncRNA from 1 species